AGGUGAGGAUGAGGUUCUCACAGUACACAUAGAGACACAUGUACAAACAGGCAGUCCUUCAGAUUUUGAAAUGGUAAAGUCUACUCAAUCACCUCAUGAUUUGUCAUCUUGUUCUGCUGCAUGCACAGACAUUCUUCACAUUGUAAAGCCUGUCUUAAACAAGGAGCUUGUCAGAGGGGAUAAACAAUGAGCUGUUUUAUUAAGGAAAUGCAUACAAAAGGUCUCCUGUCCUUUUUCAUUUUGGCCCAACCUCCUAACCCAGCCUGGAAAGAUGCCCUAGAACCAGAAGGUAUAAUGAUGCUUGCCUUUACGUACAAUGCAUCCACUACUUUGUCUGCAGGCCACAUUGGGUUGCCUGUCCCUCUUUCACUGUGCUUUCAUGUCCCUCUAAUGUUUCCAAGCAGCCUAAAAAUGGACCCUGAAGCUUCUCCAUCUAGCACUUCAACUGAGAACCGGGCUUCCCUGAAUUUCUCUCUUUUCCACUGGGCAGGUAGGACAGAGGAGCCAACAGUCUCGGCCAGGCACGACAAACAGUUUUUCCAAAGAAAACUGGCAAAGUUUCAUGCCAGGCCACAUUUCCUCUCUAGCCACCAAUAUUUGUAAGUAAGAUCUUUUGAUCUAAUUUUAAGUUUUAACCAUGGGUGUUCUCUCAUUUUUUUUUCUGUUUGGCCUAAAUGUGUAGUGGGUUUCAUUUCAUCACUUUUGAAAGAAACAUCAUCAUACUGAGUCUGUGAUAGAAUAGGAAACAUUUUCCAAGGUAAAUAUACAAUCAAAAAAAGACAUUAGAGAAAACCCAUGAUUGGGAGAAGGAAUGUCUUAACUACUGUGUCUCAGAGACACAGACUGAGUUCCUCUCACUUCUGGGUUUAUGCAGUUUGCUUGGAUUAUGCAGCCACUGGAUGGGAAGUAAGCAAACAAUUACUUCCAGAUCUGAUUUUUCAAACAUGGAAAAUCUGCUGCCAUCAUCUCUCUUUAACACUAAUGUGUUUUUAACUUGAGUUCCAGGCUGCCCCUAACAUCUGCUUCUGUCCUCCAAAGUACCUACCAAUCUCUCAGGUUAGCUCUUGUGAAGACUAAUAAUUGUGAUUUGUUUCAUGCAUGUUGGGCAAAAAGAGGAACUGUUGUUGUUGUCAUCACACUUAGACUGGCUCAGUACAGUACACUUGAACCAAACACAGCAAAAAUUGUAACUCUUAAAUCUGAAAUCAGUUUUGAUUGCUCAACUCUUUUGUGUUUAUUAGCCUUCAAACAGUGUGUCCCAUAAGCUGUCAACUGUUAAAUACUAAUUUCCUUCGCAUGUUAUCUGUCAUGGCAGAAAAUACAAAUUGGCUAUCAAAUGCUCGUAAUAUUAAAUAUGCUGGAUCCCACCCAUGAGUUCCAAGGAAAUAUCAGUCAGUUGUUCAGUCCAUCAUACCUAUGAGUCCUCCAUUUCCACAAACUUUCAACUCCGUCUACCCAUACCUAAUCCAUUACAAAUAGUCUCAAACUACCUAUACCACUUUCACUGCUUACUAGGGAAAGGCUAGACCUGGUGUAGGCACUGUUGUAGGAAUACUGAGGAGAAAAUUUAGUUCAGAAUUGCAAAGAGAUGAAGUGGUUGUCAAAACAGUGGCCAGGUAUUUGAAACGAACUAUGAAUUUCAAGUUAAGGCUACCAGCAAGCACCAACCCAAAGUUUGUAAGGCACACAGAGGCAAGCAGGGCAGAGGAUCGCGCAAAUUAGAAAUCUGCUAGUGGGUUCCUGUCCAUACAUGGAAAUGGUCCUGUCUCAUAGAUGAGCCAUACAAGAUGUAGCUUUUGUCUCCACCAAAUUAGAGUACAUUACUUCAGCAGAAGCAUGCAGAGCAAUAUUGUGGCUGCAGAAGCUACUAAAGGAAUUUGGAAUAGAUGAAGAAAUUCCAGUUCAGAAGAUGUAAGAUAAUGAGAGCUGUGUCAAACUGUCACAAAGCCAGAACAUGAAUGCACAUACCAAACACAUUCGUGUGAGGUAACACUUGGUGCAUGACCCAGCUGAGAAAGAGGUCACCCAGAUGAUCUGUUGUCAUACUACAGACAUAAUAGCAGGCAUUCUGAUGAAGUUUGAGAACCUGUGAAUCAAAAGAAGGGACAUAAGGGUUCUUGGGUGCAAGCUUGAGAAGGCCUAUUGGAAAAAUACAACGUUGCAUGCUUCUCCUUUAAUACUGAGUGUCAGUUCCCUGUUCCCGGAUACCGCCUGUUACUAAGGGUGUGAUCCCACAGAGAAAUAGAUCGUAAUUUGGACGACUAGUGGAGUGAUCUAGUGCAAUUUAUUUCCCAGCACUCACACAACAUGUGAGAAAAUGUGCUCCAGCUUGAUCUCAAUCCAUGCCAAUGCUGGUUCUUUUUUGGUCCAUCUGUAGUGCUUCUGCUUUUGGAAGAUGGCCUGGAGCACUUCCCCAGCAGGCAGCAGGAGUGCUUUAAAAGAGAUCAUUCCUUGCAAAGCAACCCUUUCCAGUACAAUCAAGUAUGUAUGUGUCUUUGAAGCCAUCUGACUGUACACUAACUUAACUAGAGAGGGUUUUUCCCCAUGCAUUGGAGUUCUUGAGACCUCCUCUUCAUUCCUGUUUUUAAUUUGCUAGUCAUCUUUACCUUCGCCUCCGUUUUCUUCUUUCUCAAGAUAGACAUGGAGAUACAGUAUAUCUCCACACUGUAUAAUGAAAAGGACAAAAGCAUAUACUGUAAGUGAAAUUUAUUUGUUCCCUUUAAUGAAGAAGCAGUCAGACUAAUUAUUUGUCUUCUGCUGUUUGUACAGAAUGAUGUACAAACUUUAAAACAAGUUUUUAAAAAUUCAGUGCUUAAAGAAACUUUAGAAAAAUUUUAACACUGAAUUUUUUAAAGUUGCAUUUAAGUACUUACAUCAUUCUGGGAUCCCAGUUUAGGCUAAAUUACAACUCAGCUCCUACAUCAAUUAAUUAAUUAAGCCACUGGAUGGGAUGUUUUGUUCCAGCCAAAUGAUGAUGACAUCUUCACCAGCUGACCACCUUAUUACUAACCACUUUAGUUAAAAUGUUAGUGAAUACCCCAUGAUACUUGUUUAUUCAAAUUUCUAAACUACUCUGUAAGGAGGCUGGAUAGCAAAAGAUGAAAAUGAAGGGGAGUAAAAUUUCAUCACAGCAAAAUACCCAAUAAUCAGAGAGCAUGAAUAAAGAAGC
rnacentral:lncRNA from 1 species